AUGACAAACGAAGAAAAACAAGGCAAUUUGGAGAAGACCCUACAAAAGAGAACACAAAUGCACUGGCAUCAUGGAGAUAAGGACAAAAAGGAGCAGGCACCCCUGAGAGAAGACUCUGAAAAUCUGGAAAACAAAGAAAACAGUGAGACAUCUUUGUGCCUUGUUACUCAGCCUAAGUCUUCAACUAACAGUGAUAUAUCCUUUGAAGCUGCUAGGAAUCUUAAGAUCAAAGAUGACAUGCCUCAGGUAGCAGUUACUCAAUCCACUAACAGGCUUCAGGAACACCAAAGGCAAGUCAUUAACACAGCACACUUUCCAGGCAAAUGCUCAGACAGUGAGGACUUCUUGAUCAAAUAUAGUGACAUUGUCAUAGGACAAACACCUAUUUUCAGUGAGAAUCUUUCUCAAAAAGCUUUUGAAAAGAAGCCAAGAGACAGUUUAAGUGAAGAAUGUGUUUUGGCAGUCACUGCACAGUCAACUGAAAAUGAGAUCCCGCCUGUGCCACUCUCACCAGGAGCAAGCGGUCCACGAGCCUUUGCAAUAUUUGCUGACAGCUCUUGUGACAGUAAAAACAGUUUGGAGUACAAAGCUCAAGAAGUCCCUGAAGAAUCAAUUGAAGCAAAAAUUAGCGAUGCCAUAAACUGCGUAGACCCAGACCCUGCUGAUGAACCCAAUGAGCUGAAGUCUCUGCCAUACAAGGACAUUGCAUCUGUCCCAGACCACAGCGUCCCUAGGGAAGAGGAGGUCUGUGAGUUGCCUUUAACCUUUACUAAACUACAAAUCAAGGAAACUCAAGAAGAGCUAAUGUAUCCAGUAGAGGAAACUGGGCAACCUGAGUCAAUAGCAUAUGUAAGUACAAGUGACAGAAAUGUAAGAGACUUUAAUCAUUCCAAAAUAAAAUGUGCAUAUCCAAGUAAUGCUCAGACACAGAGCAGAGCAGCUGCACGUAUUGAGCUGUCUUCAAGUCUAUGCUGUUCUGCUAGGAACACGGAGGAUCCCACCAAUGGGUCCGAGAAUAAGAGACUAUUAAUGGAUGGUCCUAAUGCACACACAGUUUCUGUGUGCUUCAGACACAUUAGAGAGCCACCUAAUCCCACCUACAUCCCACCACAAAGUAUUGAUGUCCAAUCUCCAAGCAUAAGCAGCACCACUGCACAUGGCAGAAGGAACAUGUUGCAGCCUGAAGGAGACUCUCCUGAAUCCAACGAAGUAAAGCUGGACAGUUAUAAUUCAAAAAUAAAUGAAAUCCAGGAGCCUUAUGUCAUCAUUGACAAAAUUGAUUAA
ensembl:lncRNA